rnacentral:rRNA from 1 species
GACGAACGCUGGCGGCGUGCUUAACACAUGCAAGUCGAACGGAAAGGCCCUGCUUUUGUGGGGUGCUCGAGUGGCGAACGGGUGAGUAACACGUGAGUAACCUGCCCUUGACUUUGGGAUAACUUCAGGAAACUGGGGCUAAUACCGGAUAGGAGCUCCUGCUGCAUGGUGGGGGUUGGAAAGUUUCGGCGGUUGGGGAUGGACUCGCGGCUUAUCAGCUUGUUGGUGGGGUAGUGGCUUACCAAGGCUUUGACGGGUAGCCGGCCUGAGAGGGUGACCGGCCACAUUGGGACUGAGAUAGGGCGCAGAAUCCUACGGGAGGCAGCAGGGGGGAAUAUGGCACAAUGGGCGGAAGCCUGAUGCAGCAACGCCGCGUGCGGGAAGACGGCCUUCGGGUUGUAAACCGCUUUCGCCUGUGACGAAGCGGGAGUGACGGUAAUGGGUAAAGAAGCACCGGCUAACUACGUG